rnacentral:rRNA from 1 species
AUUCCAGCUCCAAUAGCGUAUAUUAAAGUUGUUGCGGUUAAAAAGCUCGUAGUUGGAGUUCUGCCAGGUGACGCUCGUCCGCCCAAGUGGUGUGUACAGGGCGUGCAUCUGGCCCCUUCAAGGGGAACGUGUUGCACUUUAUUGUGUGGCGCGAGAUCCUUGACUUUUACUUUGAGGAAAUAAGAGUGUUCCAAGCAGGCUCUCGUCGUGCAUAGCUCAGCAUGGAAUAAUAGCAUUGGACUUCGUUUCUACGCUGUUGGUUGCAAGAAGCGAGGUAAUGAUGAAGAGGGACAGUUGGUGGUAUUCGUAUUUAAUUGUCAGAGGUGAAAUUCUUGGAUUUAUGAAAGGCGAACUACUGCGAAAGCAUUUACCAAGGAUGUUUUCAUUA